GAUGAACGCUAGCGGCAGGCCUAAUACAUGCAAGUCGAGCGGCAAGUCGAGGAGUAAUCUGAGACCUAGAGCGGCGUACGGGUGCGUAACGCGUAUGCAACCUACCUCAUACAGGGGGAUAGCCCGGAGAAAUCUGGAUUAAUACCCCAUAGCACAGCACAAGGGCAUCUGCGAGCUGUUAAAGAUUCAUCGGUAUGAGAUGGGCAUGCGUCUGAUUAGCUAGUUGGCGGUGUAACGGACCACCAAGGCGACGAUCAGUAGGGGUUCUGAGAGGAAGGGCCCCCACACUUGCACUGAGAUACGGGCGAGACUCCGACGGGAGGCAGCAGUAGGGAAUAUUGGGCAAUGGACGAGAGUCUGACCCAGCCAUGCCGCGCGCAGGAAGAAGGCCUUCUGGGCUGUAAACUGCUUUUAUCUGGGAAGAAAAGGCCCAUGCGUGGGACAUUGCCGGUACCAGAUGAAUAAGCACCGGCUAACUCCGUGCCAGCAGCCGCCGUAAUAC
rnacentral:rRNA from 1 species